rfam:Aureimonas ureilytica strain NS365 contig_57, whole genome shotgun sequence.
CCGCAUGGAGGUCCCCAUCCGCCAGCGAGAUUCGCCCGCGGAUGCGAUCCGC